GUGCCAGCAGCCGCGGUAAUACGAAGGGGGCUAGCGUUGUUCGGAAUCACUGGGCGUAAAGCGCACGUAGGCGGACUUUCAAGUCAGGGGUGAAAUCCCGGAGCUCAACUUCGGAAUUGCCUUUGAUACUGUUGGUCUCGAGUCCGGAAGAGGUGGGUGGAAUUCCUAGUGUAGAGGUGAAAUUCGUAGAUAUUAGGAAGAACACCGGUGGCGAAGGCGGCCCACUGGUCCGGUACUGACGCUGAGGUGCGAAAGCGUGGGGAGCAAACAGGAUUAGAAACCCCGGUAGUCC
rnacentral:rRNA from 1 species